rnacentral:rRNA from 1 species
AGUGAACGCUGGCGGUAGGCCUAACACAUGCAAGUCGAACGGCAGCACAGUAAGAGCUUGCUCUUACGGGUGGCGAGUGGCGGACGGGUGAGGAAUACAUCGGAAUCUACUUUUUCGUGGGGGAUAACGUAGGGAAACUUACGCUAAUACCGCAUACGACCUACGGGUGAAAGCAGGGGAUCUUCGGACCUUGCGCGAUUGAAUGAGCCGAUGCCGGAUUAGCUAGUUGGCGGGGUAAAGGCCCACCAAGGCGACGAUCCGUAGCUGGUCUGAGAGGAUGAUCAGCCACACUGGAACUGAGACACGGUCCAGACUCCUACGGGAGGCAGCAGUGGGGAAUAUUGGACAAUGGGCGCAAGCCUGAUCCAGCCAUACCGCGUGGGUGAAGAAGGCCUUCGGGGUGUAAAGCCCUUUUGUUGGGAAAGAAAAGCAGCAGGUUAAUACCCCGCUGUUCUGACGGUACCCAAAGAAUAAGCACCGGCUAACUUCGUG